rnacentral:lncRNA from 1 species
CCCUUUCAGCCACUCAGGACCCCAGAACAGGAGGAGGUUACCCAGAAUGCCUAUGGAAAAAUCACCAAGGACUUGUCAACAGUCACUGUACUGUGGGAGGUGAAUGUGCCGCAGGCAGACUUUCAAGGAAAGAACCAUGUGUAUGAGUAGACCUCCAAGACAACUCAACUGGGCCCAAGCUCAAAAGGACACACUCUGCUCUCUGGAGCCACAAAAGGAAGAAAAAUUUCCCUCCAGCACUGCUGCAUGAUGAAUUUUUCCAUCUCUACGUGAAGCCCUACUCACAGGGCAUAUCUUCUGGCUUCUUGAGUGUCCUAUGACAGGAGAACUGGG